CUGGCGGCAGGCCUAACACAUGCAAGUCGAGCGCACCUUCGGGUGAGCGGCGGACGGGUUAGUAACGCGUGGGAACGUGCCCUUCUCUAAGGAAUAGCCUCGGGAAACUGAGAGUAAUACCUUAUACGCCCUUCGGGGGAAAGAUUUAUCGGAGAAGGAUCGGCCCGCGUUAGAUUAGAUAGUUGGUGGGGUAACGGCCUACCAAGUCUACGAUCUAUAGCUGGUUUGAGAGGAUGAUCAGCAACACUGGGACUGAGACACGGCCCAGACUCCUACGGGAGGCAGCAGUGGGGAAUCUUGGACAAUGGGCGCAAGCCUGAUCCAGCCAUGCCGCGUGAGUGACGAAGGCCUUAGGGUCGUAAAGCUCUUUCGCCAGGGAUGAUAAUGACAGUACCUGGUAAAGAAACCCCGGCUAACUCCGUGCCAGCAGCCGCGGUAAUACGGAGGGGGUUAGCGUUGUUCGGAAUUACUGGGCGUAAAGCGCACGUAGGCGGAUUAGAAAGCUAGAGGUGAAAUCCCAGGGCUCAACCCUGGAACUGCCUUUAGAACUACUAGUCUAGAGUUCGAGAGAGGUGAGUGGAAUUCCAAGUGUAGAGGUGAAAUUCGUAGAUAUUUGGAGGAACACCAGUGGCGAAGGCGGCUCACUGGCUCGAUACUGACGCUGAGGUGCGAAAGUGUGGGGAGCAAACAGGAUUAGAUACCCUGGUAGUCCACACCGUAAACGAUGAAUGCCAGACGUC
rnacentral:rRNA from 1 species